AUGCACCAGAUACUGACCUGACAGCCUGCAGCUCAGCUGAGACUGAUGCAUGCGUGACCAUGACUGUCAGAUCGAAAACGGUGCUACAGAAACACAAGACCCUGAGAUUUAAGCUCUGAGCGGGGAGUCACUCUCUCAGGUGUUAUAACUCUAGGGCACAUUG